AUGUCGCAGAGCUGGAAACAAAUGCCAGGCGUUCUGACUGUUGGCCGGCUGUCCUUCCAUCUUCCACUGUCUUCCACGCCACUCCCUCUGGAAUGGAAAAAGGCCUGGAGUGUCGGACUAAUGAAUUCACUGGAUCUUUCACUUCUCCACUCACUGCGGUGCCUACUUUGGGCUCUGAUUCUCUCCCAGACGCUUCCACCCGGGAACUCACAGCAACCCCAAGCAGCUUUGUGGCUUUGGGAGAAAUGGCUCCUUGACGUGCUGUUGCGCCUCUCUUCAGAAACAAAGUUUCAAAUCUGGAGAGCAGCAGUGCAACUCCACAGGUAAGAAAUGGUGUCAGUCAUGACUCCGUCCGUUUACCUGGUUGGAUACUUGGGAUGGUUUGUCUCAGCAGGUUUCUAUUCAAAGAACAUCUGUUACUUUUUCCAAAUUCCUAUAAUGAGGCCAGCAUUCAGUUGCAACUUUCUAAAGGAAAAAAAAUCUACAAUUAUUAAAACCACCAGCUUAUACCUCUUCCAUUUCCCACCCUCAGUGGAAACAUUUCUUAAGUGCCUCUAUCAAUAUUUCACUCCUUUGUAUUGCUGAAUAGUUCAUUGUAUAGCUAUAGUCCACUUUUUGUUAUCCACUGACUAUUUAGUAUUUGGAUUGUGUUGAUUUUGGCUAUAAUUGUGAAUCAUUGUGUGGACACAUUUAUUUUUCACAGAUAGACGGCUGAGUGGAGUUUCAGCGUCCUCUGGUAAGUUUAUAUUGUACUUCUUGCGAAACUGUUUAAGUGUUGCCACCAUUUUACACUACCACUGUCAGUAUGUGCUGCUGCUUUUUUUUCCAUGACCUUGUCCAAUUUUUGUAUGCUCAGAUUUCCUGAUCAUAAUCAUUUUUAAU
rnacentral:lncRNA from 1 species